rnacentral:rRNA from 1 species
CGUGUGGUUCUAUUUUGUUGGUUUCUAGGACCGCCGUAAUGAUUAAUAGGGACAGUCGGGGGCAUCAGUAUUCAAUUGUCAGAGGUGAAAUUCUUGGAUUUAUUGAAGACUAACUACUGCGAAAGCAUUUGUCAAGGAUGUUUUCAUUAAUCAGGAACGAAAGUUAGGGGAUCGAAAACGAUCAGAUACCGUUGUAGUCUUAACCAUAAACUAUGCCGACUAGGGAUCGGACGAUGUUACAUUUUGACUCGUUCGGCACCUUACACGAAAGUAAAGUUUCUGGGUUCUGGGGGGAGUAUGGUCGCAAGGCUGAAACUUAAAGAAAUUGACGGAAGGGCACCACCAGGGGUGGAGCCUGCGGCUUAAUUUGACUCAACACGG